CGGGUGUCUGGGGCGGACGGCAAGUUUACUUUGAACAAAUUUGAGUGCUCAAAGCAGGCCUAUGCCUGACAAUUCUUGCAUGGAAUAAUGGAAUAGGACUUCGGUUCUAUUUUGUUGGUUUUCGGAUCCGAAGUAAUGGUUAAGAGGGACAGACGGGGGCAUUUGUAUGGCGGUGUUAGAGGUGAAAUUCUAUGAUCAUCGCCAGACAAACUAAAGCGAAAGCAUUUGCCAAGGAUGUUUUCAUUAAUCUGGAGCGAAAGUCAGAGGUUCAAAGACGAUCAGAUACCGUCGUAGUUCUGACCAUAAACGAUACCAACUGACGAUCCGUGGGCGCUCGUUUAUUGACCCCAUGGGCAGUCCCCGGGAAACCUUGAAGUCUUUGGGUUCCGGGGGAAGUAUGGUUGCAAAGCUGAAACUUAAAGGAAUUGACGGAAGGGCACCACCAGGAGUGGAGCGUGCGGUUCAAUUCGACUCAACACGGGAAAUCUCACCCGGCCCGGACACUGUGAGGAUUGACAGAUUGAGAGCYCUUUCUUGAUUCGGUGGUUGGUGGUGCAUGGCCGUUCUUAGUUGGUGGAGCGAUUUGUCUGGUUAAUUCCGAUAACGAACGAGACUUUGGCCUGCUAAAUAGUAUGCCUGUCCUCUGCUCUUGUGCGGGUGGCGGUAGUGGUAGCCUUUCGGGGUGAUACUGCCGUACGCCGGCGAGGGCUGCGCAGGUCUAUACUUCUUAGAGGGACAAGCGGUUUUUAGCCGCACGAAAUUGAGCA
rnacentral:rRNA from 1 species